GAUGAACGCUAGCGGCAGGCUUAAUACAUGCAAGUCGAGGGGCAGCAUGGUGUAGCAAUACACUGAUGGCGACCGGCAAACGGGUGCGGAACACGUACAGAACCUUCCUUCGAGCGGGGAAUAGCCCAGAGAAAUUUGGAUUAAUACCCCAUAGCAUAUUGGAGUGGCAUCACUUUGAUAUUAAAGAUUUAUCACUCGAAGAUGGCUGUGCGUCUGAUUAGGUAGUUGGUGAGGUAACGGCUCACCAAGCCAACGAUCAGUAACUGGUGUGAGAGCACGACCAGUCACACGGGCACUGAGACACGGGCCCGACGCCUACGGGAGGCAGCAGUAAGGAAUAUUGGUCAAUGGACGCAAGUCUGAACCAGCCAUGCCGCGUGAAGGAUGAAGGUCCUCUGGAUUGUAAACUUCUUUUAUAUGGGAAGAAAUCCUUGAAUUCUUUCGAGGUUGACGGUACCAUAGGAAUAAGCACCGGCUAACUCCGUGCCAGCCGCCGCAGUAACAC
rnacentral:rRNA from 1 species